rnacentral:rRNA from 1 species
CACUCUAGAAAGGCCCCAACCAUGGUCAUCAAAUUAGACUUCAGCAAAGCCUUCGACUUCCUCUCUUGGGACUACCUCUCUACUAUUCUUCAAUGAUGCGGUUGUCCGCCAAAAUUUUCAGCAUGGGUUCAUGAUCUCCUAUCAACUGGAAAAACUGCUAUCAUGAUUAACGGGAUUCCGGGAAACUGGAUAAGUUGCAAGAACGGCCUUAGACAGGGCGACCCCAUAUCUCUGUAUCUGUUCAUCAUCGUUGCCGAUCUCCUACAACAAAUGAUCUGA